GCGCCAAUGGUGUAAUGGCGCGGAGCAUUCUCGCCCGCUUAGCAGCUGGUGCAGGUUCGAAUCCCGCUUGGCGCU
rnacentral:tRNA from 1 species